AAUAGAUACCCGGGUAGUCCACGCCGUAAACGAUGAGUGCUAAGUGUUAGGGGGUUUCCGCCCCUUAGUGCUGCAGCUAACGCAUUAAGCACUCCGCCUGGGGAGUACGGUCGCAAGACUGAAACUCAAAGGAAUUGACGGGGGCCCGCACAAGCGGUGGAGCAUGUGGUUUAAUUCGAAGCAACGCGAAGAACCUUACCAGGUCUUGACAUCCCAUUGACCACUAUGGAGACAUAGUUUUCCCUUCGGGGACAACGGUGACAGGUGGUGCAUGGUUGUCGUCAGCUCGUGUCGUGAGAUGUUGGGUUAAGUCCCGCAACGAGCGCAACCCUCGUUCUUAGUUGCCAUCAUUUAGUUGGGCACUCUAAGGAGACUGCCGGUGACAAACCGGAGGAAGGUGGGGAUGACGUCAAAUCAUCAUGCCCCUUAUGACCUGGGCUACACACGUGCUACAAUGGACGGUACAAACGGUUGCCAACCCGCGAGGGGAGCUAAUCCGAUAAAACCGUUCUCAGUUCGGAUUGUAGGCUGCAACUCGCCUACAUGAAGCC
rnacentral:rRNA from 1 species